rnacentral:rRNA from 1 species
AACCCUACGGGAGGCAGCAGUGAGGAAUAUUGGUCAAUGGCCGGAAGGCUGAACCAGCCAAGUCGCGUGAGGGAAUAAGGCCCUAUGGGUCGUAAACCUCUUUUGUCGGGGAGCAAAAGCCGGACGUGUCCGGCUGUGAGAGUACCCGAAGAAAAAGCAUCGGCUAACUCCGUGCCAGCAGCCGCGGUAAUACGGAGGAUGCGAGCGUUAUCCGGAUUUAUUGGGUUUAAAGGGUGCGCAGGCGGAUUUUUAAGUCAGCGGUCAAAUCGUGGGGCUCAACCCCAUCCAGCCGUUGAAACUGGGGA